rnacentral:piRNA from 1 species
UAAAAGAGUAUGUCCACAUACAUGGCUACAG